rnacentral:rRNA from 1 species
GACGAACGCUGGCGGCGUGCUUAACACAUGCAAGUCGAACGGAAAGGCCCUGCUUUUGUGGGGUGCUCGAGUGGCGAACGGGUGAGUAACACGUGAGUAACCUGCCCCUGACUUUGGGAUAACUUCAGGAAACUGGGGCUAAUACCGGAUAGGAGAUCCUGCAGCACGGUGGGGGUUGGAAAGUUUCGGCGGUUGGGGAUGGACUCGCGGCUUAUCAGCUUGUUGGUGGGGUAGUGGCUUACCAAGGCUUUGACGGGUAGCCGGCCUGAGAGGGUGACCGGCCACAUUGGGACUGAGAUACGGCCCAGACUCCUACGGGAGGCAGCAGUGGGGAAUAUUGCACAAUGGGCGGAAGCCUGAUGCAGCAACGCCGCGUGCGGGAUGACGGCCUUCGGGUUGUAAACCGCUUUCGCCUGUGACGAAGCGUGAGUGACGGUAAUGGGUAAAGAAGCACCGGCUAACUACGUG